rnacentral:rRNA from 1 species
UACGAAGGGGGCUAGCGUUGCUCGGAUUUACUGGGCGUAAAGGGCGCGUAGGCGGCCACCGCAAGUCGACUGUGAAAUCUCCGGGCUUAACCCGGAAAGGUCAGCCGAUACUGCGGGGCUAGAGUGCAGAAGGGGCAACUGGAAUUCUCGGUGUAGCGGUGAAAUGCGUAGAUAUCGAGAGGAACACCUGCGGCGAAGGCGGGUUGCUGGGCUGACACUGACGCUGAUGCGCGAAAGCUAGGGGAGCGAACGGG